GUCCUUUUGUAGUACCUAAGUGUGAUGAUUGGCUUUUGGGAUGUGCCACCCAUAAACCUUGUUACAACAUUGGCACAUAACCCAUCUGAUG
rnacentral:snoRNA from 1 species